rnacentral:rRNA from 1 species
ACGAACGCUGGCGGCGUGCCUAAUACAUGCAAGUUGAGCGCUGAAGGUUGGUACUUGUACCGACUGGAUGAGCAGCGAACGGGUGAGUAACGCGUGGGGAAUCUGCCUUUGAGCGGGGGACAACAUUUGGAAACGAAUGCUAAUACCGCAUAAAAACUUUAAACACAAGUUUUAAGUUUGAAAGAUGCAAUUGCAUCACUCAAAGAUGAUCCCGCGUUGUAUUAGCUAGUUGGUGAGGUAAAGGCUCACCAAGGCGAUGAUACAUAGCCGACCUGAGAGGGUGAUCGGCCACAUUGGGACUGAGACACGGCCCAAACUCCUACGGGAGGCAGCAGUAGGGAAUCUUCGGCAAUAGACGAAAGUCUGACCGAGCAACGCCGCGUGAGUGAAGAAGGUUUUCGGAUCGUAAAACUCUGUUGGCAGAGAAGAACGUUGGUGAGAGUGGAAAGCUCAUCAAGUGACGGUAACUACCCAGAAAGGGACGGCUAACUACGUG